rnacentral:rRNA from 1 species
AAAUCGGGCACUCAGGCAACUGAGUGCCGGAGAGUAAAGUGGCGCACGGGUGAGUAACACGUGGGUAACCUACCCCCGAAUCUGGGAUAACCUCGCGAAAGCGUUGCUAAUACCGGAUAUUGUCCUAUUGGUUGUGACCUUUGGGAUGAAAGGCAACCUCUUCAUGAAAGUUGUCGUUCAGGGAUGGGCCCGCGUACCAUUAGCUUGUUGGUGAGGUAACGGCCCACCAAGGCUACGAUGGUUAGCUGGUCUGAGAGGAUGAUCAGCCACACUGGAACUGAAACACGGUCCAGACUCCUACGGGAGGCAGCAGUGAGGAAUUUUGCGCAAUGGGGGAAACCCUGACGCAGCAACGCCGCGUGAGUGAAGAAGGCUUUCGGGUCGUAAAGCUCUGUCAAGAGGGAAAAAAGUCUGAUGAUUAAUAGUUGUCAGAUCUGAUGGUACCACUGGAGGAAGCACCGGCUAACUCCGUGCCAGCAGCCGCGGUAAUACGGAGGGUGCAAGCGUUGUUCGGAAUUACUGGGCGUAAAGGGCGUGCAGGCGGGUUGGUAAGUCAGAUGUGAAAGCCCUGGGCUCAACCCAGGAAGUGCAUU